UGUUGAUGACGACAAAAUCAAAGGCUUGUCUCUCAAAAACAUUCGCAGUGGCCGCCUAAGUGCUUUCGCCGUCGCCAGGCUUGAGAGCUUGUGCUGCUUUAUUCCUUCCUUGGAUGUCUGAAACU
rfam:Gossypium arboreum cultivar AKA8401 contig_1056_1, whole genome shotgun sequence.